GAUGAACGCUGGCGGCGUGCCUAAUACAUGCAAGUCGAGCGAACAAAUGAAGUGCUUGCACUUCUGACGUUAGCGGCGAACGGGUGAGUAACACGUAAGGAAUCUACCUAUAAGCGGGGGAUAACAUUCGGAAACGGGUGCUAAUACCGCAUAAUAUCUUCUUCCGCAUGGAAGAAGAUUGAAAGACGGUUUCGGCUGUCACUUAUAGAUGGACCCGCACCGCAUUAUCUAGUUGGUAAGGUAACGGCUUACCAAGGCGACGAUACGUAGCCGAACUGAGAGUGUGAUCGGCCACACUGGAACUGAGACACGGUCAAGACUCCUACGGGAGGCAGCAGUAGGGAAUCUUCCGCAAUGGGCGAAAGCCUGACGGAGCAACGCCGCGUGAGUGAUGAAGGUCUUCGGAUCGUAAAACUCUGUUGUUAGGGAAGAACAAAUUUGUUAGUAACUGAACAAGUCUUGACGGUACCUAACCAGAAAGCCACGGCUAACUACGUGCCAGCCGCCGCAGUAA
rnacentral:rRNA from 1 species